CUACGUGCCAGCAGCCGCGGUAAUACGGAAGGUCCAGGCGUUAUCCGGAUUUAUUGGGUUUAAAGGGAGUGUAGGCGGUUUGUUAAGCGUGUUGUGAAAUUUAGGUGCUCAACAUUUAACUUGCAGCGCGAACUGUCAGACUUGAGUACACGCAACGUAUGCGGAAUUCAUGGUGUAGCGGUGAAAUGCUUAGAUAUCAUGAAGAACUCCGAUUGCGAAGGCAGCAUACGGGAGUGUAACUGACGCUUAAGCUCGAAGGUGCGGGUAUCGAACAGGAUUAGAUACCCUGGUAGUCCGCACAGUAAACGAUGGAUGCCCGCUGUUAGCGCCUGGCGUUAGCGGCUAAGCGAAAGCAUUAAGCAUCCCACCUGGGGAGUACGCCGGCAACGGUGAAACUCAAAGGAAUUGACGGGGGCCCGCACAAGCGGAGGAACAUGUGGUUUAAUUCGAUGAUACGCGAGGAACCCUACCCGGGCUUGAAUUGCAGAGGAAUUAUUUAGAGAUA
rnacentral:rRNA from 1 species